rnacentral:lncRNA from 1 species
GCAAUCAUGAAAGUGGAGACGAAUGAGAGAAGCUGCCAUUCUUCGUUCUGCGGCAAUUGAAUUUCUGAUGGAAGUUCGGAUAGUUUUGAGUGCAUUUGGACAAGCAUUGUCAUAAAAUGUAGAGGUGAGUUGAGCUUGGCAGGCAGUGUAAAACAGCAGCACCAUAAACGCGAACACUGCAGCUUUUGCUGGAGAUAUUGAAACGUUAAGAAGCGGAAUUGCCAUUUUCCUUUUUGGAAGGAAAUCAGAAGCAAGGGAAUUAAGUGAGAAAUGAUUUGAAGAUGGAGAAUGAAAGCGCUCACCACCUUAUAUAUAGUGAGCAAAGUCAGCGGAUUGGGUUUGGCUGGGUCACUGUACAACGAGUGAUUGCGCGUAGCCGCUAUUCACCAACUCCUUUUUUUGGUUGAAAAUUCAACGUUGAUGCCUCUGAGAUGCUAUAAUGAACAGUUCCUUGUGCUGACCGAAUCCGGACAUUGACUUUGGCGGCCUCAUGCAUGCAAAGUUGGUGUGCUUUGUGCUUUGUGCUAUGUGAAUAUAUGGAGUUGAUAAUAUUCGUUCGUGAUUAGAAUUUACAAUACAAUUUAUUAAACUUAUCUCCACUUCAGCUGUACUUUCGAAGAUAAGGAUUAUUUAUUCAUUAGCAGCCAUAAUUUAAUGUAUAAUUUGUCUUUAAUUAAUGCAAUUGGGAUUUGAAUUUUUUAAUAAUAACAUGUGAAAUUGACCUUAUGUGGAUGUAAAAUAAAACAAGUGAUGGCAGUGGGAUUGCCAAUUCCACGUGGUUGAUUAGUAAAUAGCAAGUAACCUUAGCUUAAUCAGUUUGGUGUAAAUUGUUGACUCAGUUUGCUUUUUUUUUUUUUUUUUUAAACUUUGAGAGUGAGGGAGUAUUUGUGCUAGAUUGCAAGGGAUUCUGCCCGUCAAAUCGAUGAGAAAUUAAAUCCCUAAUUUCUUUGUCCAAACUUAUUUUUUUAGCUUUCACCACAACCCCAAUCUCUUUUACCUCUCCCUCCCAUUGUAGUCCAUUGUCACGCUUCUCUCAUCCUCCAAAAGCCAUCGUCAUUACCGACAGCUGCUUCUUCCUCGUUGCCGCAGGAAUAGUCUUCCUCAUAGUGUGUUCCUUGAAAAGUAGAAUGCUUUGCUCUCAUGGCAAAUACACCAUGACCCUUAAUGAAAAUUUGCAACCAUUGCAUCUGGCAGCGUUUUAAAGUUGCGUUAGGAAUCCAAUCUGCAAAAUACGAUAUUUGUGAAUUGGGGACAUUUUCUAGCUUGGUUUUAAAAAUACCACGAGGACAGUCUUCAUAUCCUCUCCCACAUGGAUUUUAAUUAUAUUUAUUAUCUUCUAAAAUUAAUACACUGAUAUUAUUGGUUCAGUGGUUUAUAAUAUAAACUAUUAUAUCAUAACUGAAUUACGUAGUUGUAAAAUUUAAACUGAUUUAAAUAAUUUUUAAAUUUAUUUUAUAUCUGAUUCAAAAUAUUCAGAAUAUAUAUUUAAUAGUAUGAAAUUUCAUAUUUACUACAGAUUUCACAUUCUCGCUAAAUUUAUGAUAAUCUUAUUGCAAUCGUAUUGUGCUGAACUAAAUACUCUCGAGUACUGUGAUUUGUUAGUAUUUCGGAUCACUCAUAUCAUUUCAUAUGAGUAGUCCAUAUCAUUUCACGAGUAGUCUUCUCCUUACAAAUUCACUAAUUUUGCAUAAUUAUUUUAUAUUAUUUAAAAUAAUUAAUCUAAAUUAUUUAAUAAUUACUAAACUAACUAAUAUAUAUUUUUUAAUUUUUUUUUUAAAUUCAUUCAUCUGGAACAUUUCAUGGGUAAUUUGAAUUAUGCUUCAAUCCUCCUAUAAUUUUUAUUUUAUUUUAUUUUUCUCUGCCAGUCAGCGUAUAAAAAAGGACUUUUACUAUUUAAUUUACAUCGUAGAGAAUUGUAUUGAAGUUAAGCCCCUUAAUGACAGCGAUUUUAAAAUUUAAUUCAUAGUUGUAAGAUUUAGCCGAUAGUAACUUUGAAAAAGAAAGGCUGCUUAGACAUAUUUCUUUUUUUUUUUUUUCUUUUAAGGAUAGCUUAGACAUAAAACUUUAAAAUAAUAAUAAAGUACACAAUCCAUGUAUUCACAUCGUUUAUGUUACUUUUUUGGAGAUUUUUUUCACCCGUUUUGAAUAAUAAUAUUACUCAUUUUCGUUCGAUAAUUUUUAUAUAUAUUUUUUAAUGGUUGUAAAAUUAUUAUUCAUUUAUUUUUUUUAUAUUAUAAUAAUAUAUAAAUUUAUUAUUAUAGCUUUAUUUUAUUUUAUUUUAUUUUAUUUUCAAAAUAACUUUAAAAUGAAUAUUUAAAAUAUUUUUUUAGUAUUAAUAAAAUUUAAUAUUUUUAAAAUGUAUAAAAUUAAAAAGUUAAUAAAAAAUUUAUCUUCUAAGGUGGACAAAAAUAUGUAAAAGUACUACAAAUACUUUAGUUGAUUAUCAAUACUUUUUUAUAAAUACAAAGUUAUCUAAAUUAUAUUUAAGCAUAUUAAAUUGGAGAUUUCAAUCUGGAAGAAUAUAAAUCAAUUGAUGAAUCGAAAUACAGUGAUAUUAACUAGACGCAUUUUGUCUUUACACUAAAUGAAAUAAUAAAAAAAUUAACAAAUUUUCAGGUAAAAAGAAUACAUGCUUUUAUACAAUAAAGGCAUUGGACGAACAUAAAAGGAGCACAAAAAUUAGUUCACAGCACUGCAGAUCUUCCUUAUUUCCCCAGCAGUGCCAGUGAGAAUAUUGAUAUUUCCCAUUUUGAUCGUGGCAGCAGCAAAGUCUGAGUUGAAAGCUGCAGGACUCCUGCUAUAUUCUCGGACAAUGCUAUCUGUGGAGCCUCCGCUAAAAAGAACUUGAUCAGAUUCAAGAAGACCUUUCUUUUGUAUGAGAUUCUUGAAGUAAUUGUUGUCGAAAGAAUUAGGUGUGACCAAAUCAAAGGGAGCCAAGUUUGCAUCACCGUCAACAGCUGGACAAGUGCGCUUGCGGGUGCUUGCAAAUCCAGCAUCAAUAGAAACAUUGCUGUAUAUCCUAUCACGAAAUGUAAAGCAUUGAGCGUGGCCUAGAGUAUGAGCCCCUGCAAUUGGAAAUUAAAAUAUUUUUAGCAUAUAAAGGCCAAGAAAAUGUUUUGUUGCUAAGAAAAAGAUUUGUAAUAUAUAUGAUUAUAUAAAAUAUAUGAAUAUAGUUUUAGCAUAUACACCUGACAAGGCAACCAGAUCCCUUGGACUAAGGCCUUUAUUCUGAAAGCUAGAUAUAAGUCUGUCCAGGCCAUCUUUAAAACUGGGAAGUUCACUAUUGGCAAGAUUUCUACUAGCAGUUGUUGAGUCUCUUCUUCCAAGCAUCACUGUAUAAGAUGGACCCCCCACCUGAUAUAUUUCAGAAGAAAAUGUCAAAAAAAUUAAUAAACAAUAACUUGAGAAGAGUAUAGCAUCUGAAUGCAAGAGUUUGAAAUAUAGUUAAUUACAUAUGCAGAUGCAUCUCUUGCUGCCACAGCGAGGAUAUCUGCACAAGAUACAACUCCAGGGCAUAUUUUCUCUACUUCAGAUUUUGCUUUCUCAAUGACUCGAUAGCCUCUGGCGGAAUCUUUAUUGGGAAGUGCAGUUUGUUCGCUCUCGAUAGUUGGAGUCUCUUCGAGUAAGAUUGACGCAUCACAACCCUGCAAGACCAAGAAUUCAUUAAGCAAUGCUCAUAGAAUGAUAUUAGUUAUAUAUGGAAGGAAAUAUAAAAUAGAGCAAUAUAUGUAUAGUACCUGAACAAAGCAAUCAUGAAAGUGGAGGCGAAUGAGAGAAGCUGCCAUUCUUCGUUCUGCAGCAAUUGAAUUUCUGAUAGAAGUUCGGAUAGUUCUGAGUGCAUUUGGACAAGAACUGUCAUAAAAUGUAGAGGUGAGUUGAGCUUGGCAUGCAGUGUUAAACAACAGCACCACAAAUACGAACAAUGCAGCUUUUGCUGGAGAUGUUGAAAUGUUAAGAAGUGGAAUUGCCAUUUUCUU